AGCUCCAAUAGCGUAUAUUAAAGUUGUUGCGGUUAAAAAGCUCGUAGUUGGAUUUCUGCUGAAGCAAACCGGUCCGCCCUCUGGGUGAGCAUCUGGCUUUAUUUUGGCAUAUGCUUAGACUUUGCAGCUGCACUUGACUGUGUGGUGUGAAGGCUAAGCCAUUUACUUUGAGGAAAUCAGAGUGUUUCAAGCAGGCAAUUGCCUUGAAUACACUAGCAUGGAAUAAUAAGAUAUGACUGUGGUUUUAUUUUGUUGGCUUCUAGAAUUAGAGUAAUGGUUAAUAGGGAUAGUUGGGGGCAUUCAUAUUUAACUGUCAGAGGUGAAAUUCUUGGAUUUGUUAAGGAUGAACGACUGCGAAAGCAUUUGCCAAGGAUGCUUUCAUUGAUCAAGAACGAGUAACGCUGAGA
rnacentral:rRNA from 1 species